AGAGUUUGAUCCUGGCUCAGAUUGAACGCUGGCGGCAUGCUUUACACAUGCAAGUCGGACGGCAGCACAGAGAAGCUUGCUUCUUGGGUGGCGAGUGGCGAACGGGUGAGUAACAUAUCGGAACGUACCGAGCAGUGGGGGAUAACUAAUCGAAAGAUUAGCUAAUACCGCAUAUAUUCUGAGGAAGAAAGCAGGGGACCAUUUGGCCUUGCGCUGUUUGAGCGGCCGAUAUCUGAUUAGCUAGUUGGUGGGGUAAAGGCCUACCAAGGCGACGAUCAGUAGCGGGUCUGAGAGGAUGAUCCGCCACACUGGGACUGAGACACGGCCCAGACUCCUACGGGAGGCAGCAGUGGGGAAUUUUGGACAAUGGGCGAAAGCCUGAUCCAGCCAUGCCGCGUGUCUGAAGAAGGCCUUCGGGUUGUAAAGGACUUUUGUCAGGGAAGAAAAGGGCGGGGUUAAUACCCCUGUCUGAUGACGGUACCUGAAGAAUAAGCACCGGCUAACUACGUGCCAGCAGCCGCGGUAAUACGUAGGGUGCGAGCGUUAAUCGGAAUUACUGGGCGUAAAGCGGGCGCAGACGGUUACUUAAGCAGGAUGUGAAAUCCCCGGGCUCAACCUGGGAACUGCGUUCUGAACUGGGUGACUAGAGUGUGUCAGAGGGAGGUAGAAUUCCACGUGUAGCAGUGAAAUGCGUAGAGAUGUGGAGGAAUACCGAUGGCGAAGGCAGCCUCCUGGGAUAACACUGACGUUCAUGCCCGAAAGCGUGGGUAGCAAACAGGAUUAGAUACCCUGGUAGUCCACGCCCUAAACGAUGUCAAUUAGCUGUUGGGCAACUUGAUUGUUCAGUAGCGUAGCUAACGCGUGAAAUUGACCGCCUGGGGAGUACGGUCGCAAGAUUAAAACUCAAAGGAAUUGACGGGGACCCGCACAAGCGGUGGAUGAUGUGGAUUAAUUCGAUGCAACGCGAAGAACCUUACCUGGUCUUGACAUGUACGGAACCCUCCAGAGACGGAGGGGUGCCUUCGGGAGCCGUAACACAGGUGCUGCAUGGCUGUCGUCAGCUCGUGUCGUGAGAUGUUGGGUUAAGUCCCGCAACGAGCGCAACCC
rnacentral:rRNA from 1 species